CACGAAUUUGCGCGGUAAACAAUCCGGUGUGAGCACGUUGCGCCCCCGCGCGUCUCUGUCGCGAUAUUGCAGCGCACAAUGCCGCUCUUUCUGGAGGGAAGUCGCACAAAGUCCAACCGGUCUCCUGGUUUCCACGCGAUUGGACGCUUGUCCUUACGUCGGUCACGUGUUAUAUGCAAACCAAUCCCCGACCACUACAGCGUAACGUCCAUCGAGGAGUGACGUCACCGCACUUACGGGUGUGUGACCGGAAUCAAAGGGAACAACAUCUCAGGGAGGAGUGUAAUAAGAAGGCAUUAAGACUAUGUCGACAAAGACGCAGUAAUGAACUCGCAAGUUCUCGCGAUGCCAACUGUCGUGGAUCCGAAGAACUACAUGGAGUGCGUUGCGACACAGAGGAAGGGAGUGCGAAGAUCUUCAAAUAGUGCUGCACAUAGAGCCACUGAGGGGAAGUGGACAGGAAAAGAAAAAAGAGGGGAAAGGAAAGGAGAGCAAAUGAAAGGAAAGAAGAGGAAAGGAGAAGAAAGAAGAGGAAAGGAAAGACCCUCAUGACAAGAUGCUGCACCUUUCUUUGGUUGUCCUCUUGCUUGUCUGUGUCUCAGAGGAUCCACACGCAUCCGCUGCAACAGCUGAAGAUACCACACGAGUUGCCACUCGAGAUCAAGAUGAGAAAAUUUGUUAGCUGUUGGUUGUGAACUUUUCCAUUUAACCUCAUGCUUUUAAUUUUGUGAUUCACUUGAAGACUGAGUACACCCAGUCAUAUACUCCUCUCAUUUAUUUAUUUCUUUAAAAUUAAAAAAAUAACAUUUUAAAGCCUUAAUUUUCAUUUACAAUCCUUGGAUCUGUGGCUAUAAACCCCUUGCAUGCAUGCAUGCACACAAGAGCUGUUCACUGCAUCCAUUAAAAUGUCACACAUGCUAACCGCCCAUGGCCAGACCACUGUCGACUAGAAUGACUGUACUGGUGCACGCAGAAAGAAAUGACUAAUCAGCAGACAUCAUCAUCUGGUUAUCAACCAUAAGGUCUAAGGUUAGCUGGGUAAACUCUGACAAAAGUCAUUUUUUAAAAAUAAAAACAUGCAUUUCACACA
rnacentral:lncRNA from 1 species